GUGCUUACUUCGGCAGCACAUAUACUAAAAUUGGAACAAUACAGAGAUUAGCAUGGCCCCUGUGCAAAGAAUGACAUGCAAAUUCAUGAAGCCUUCCGUAUUUUU